rnacentral:rRNA from 1 species
UACGUAGGGUGCGAGCGUUAAUCGGAAUUACUGGGCGUAAAGAGCGUGUAGGCGGUCCGGUAAGUCCGUUGUGAAAGUCAGGGGCUCAACCCUUGAAUGCCGGCGGAUACUGUCGGGCUAGAGUCCGGAAGAGGCAAGUGGAAUUCCCGGUGUAGCGGUGAAAUGCGCAGAUAUCGGGAGGAACACCUAUGGCGAAGGCAGCUUGCUGGGACGGUACUGACGCUGAGACGCGAAAGCGUGGGGAGCGAACAGG